GACGAACGCUGGCGGCGUGCUUAACACAUGCAAGUCGAGCGGUAAGGCCCUUUCGGGGGUACACGAGCGGCGAACGGGUGAGUAACACGUGGGUGACCUGCCCUCAGCUCUGGGAUAAGCCUGGGAAACUGGGUCUAAUACUGGAUAUGACUCCACGGUGCAUGUCGUGGGGUGGAAAGCCUUGUGCGGCUGAGGAUGGGCCCGCGGCCUAUCAGCUUGUUGGUGGGGUGANGGCCUACCAAGGCGACGACGGGUAGCCGGCCUGAGAGGGCGACCGGCCACACUGGGACUGAGACACGGCCCAGACUCCUACGGGAGGCAGCAGUGGGGAAUCUUGCGCAAUGGGCGAAAGCCUGACGCAGCGACGCCGCGUGAGGGAUGACG
rnacentral:rRNA from 1 species